rnacentral:rRNA from 1 species
AGUGAACGCUGGCGGUAGGCCUAACACAUGCAAGUCGAACGGCAGCACAGUAAGAGCUUGCUCUUACGGGUGGCGAGUGGCGGACGGGUGAGGAAUACAUCGGAAUCUACUCUUUCGUGGGGGAUAACGUAGGGAAACUUACGCUAAUACCGCAUAUGACCUACGGGUGAAAGCAGGGGAUCUUUUGACCUUGCGCGAUUGAAUGAGCCGAUGUCGGAUUAGCUAGUUGGCGGGGUAAAGGCCCACCAAGGCGACGAUCCGUAGCUGGUCUGAGAGGAUGAUCAGCCACCCUGGAACUGAGACACGGUCCAGACUCCUACGGGAGGCAGCAGUGGGGAAUAUUGGACAAUGGGCGCAAGCCUGAUCCAGCCAUACCGCGUGGGUGAAGAAGGACUUCGGGUUGUAAAGCCCUUUUGUUGGGAAAGAAAAGCAGCAGGUUAAUACCCCGCUGUUCUGACGGUACCCAAAGAAUAAGCACCGGCUAACUUCGUG